GGGUCAGUAGGCUGGUCGUGCCACCGGUACGUACUGGUCUCACUGAUUCCUCCUACCAGAAGAACCGUAAUGCCAUUAAUUUGGUGUUGCGGGGAAACAGGACUGUUACUUUGAAAAAAUUAGAGUGUUUAAAGCAAGCUAACGCUUGAAUACAUUAGCGUGGAAUAAUGAAAUAGGACGAUCGAUCCUAUUUUGUUGGUUUCUAGGAUUGACGUA
rnacentral:rRNA from 1 species